UACGGAGGGGGCUAGCGUUGUUCGGAAUUACUGGGCGUAAAGCGCGCGUAGGCGGACCUGCAAGUCGGGGGUGAAAGCCCGAGGCUCAACCUCGGAACUGCCUUCGAUACUGCGGGUCUCGAGUCCGGGAGAGGUGAGUGGAAUUCCUAGCGUAGAGGUGAAAUUCGUAGAUAUUAGGAAGAACACCAGUGGCGAAGGCGGCUCACGGGCCCGGUACUGACGUUGAGGCGCGAAAGCGUGGGGAGCAAACAGG
rnacentral:rRNA from 1 species